rnacentral:rRNA from 1 species
UGGGGAAUUUUGGACAAUGGGCGAAAGCCUGAUCCAGCAAUGCCGCGUGUGUGAAGAAGGCCUUCGGGUUGUAAAGCACUUUUGUCCGGAAAGAAGUCCUUGGCUCUAAUACAGUCGGGGGAUGACGGUACCGGAAGAAUAAGCACCGGCUAACUACGUGCCAGCAGCCGCGGUAAUACGUAGGGUGCAAGCGUUAAUCGGAAUUACUGGGCGUAAAGCGUGCGCAGGCGGUUUGCUAAGACCGAUGUGAAAUCCCCGGGCUCAACCUGGGGAACUGCAUUGGUGACUGGCAGGCUAGAGUAUGGCAGAGGGGGGUAGAAUUCCACGUGUAGCAGUGAAAUGCGUAGAGAUGUGGAGGAAUACCGAUGGCGAAGGCAGCCCCCUGGGCCAAAUACUGACGCUCAUGCACGAAAAGCGUGGGGGAGCAAAACAGGAUUAGAUACCCUGGUAGUCCACGCCCUAAAACGAUGUCAACUAGUUGUUGGGGAUUCAUUUCCUUAGUAACGUAGCUAACGCGUGAAAGUUGACCGCCUGGGGAGUACGGUCGCAAAGAUUAAAAACUCAAAGGAAUUGACGGGGUCAU